AGAGUUUGAUUCUGGCUCAGGAUGAACGCUAGCGAUAGGCCUAACACAUGCAAGUCGAGGGGCAGCACAUGAAGUAGCAAUACGGAUGGUGGCGACCGGCGCACGGGUGAGUAACGCGUAUGCAACCUGCCUACAACAGGGGAAUAACCCGUUGAAAGACGGACUAAUACCCCAUAACACAGGGAUCCCGCAUGGGAAUAUUUGUUAAAGAUUUAUCGGUUGUAGAUGGGCAUGCGUUCCAUUAGCUGGUUGGUGAGGUAACGGCUCACCAAGGCAACGAUGGAUAGGGGAACUGAGAGGUUUAUCCCCCACACUGGUACUGAGACACGGACCAGACUCCUACGGGAGGCAGCAGUGAGGAAUAUUGGUCAAUGGACGCAAGUCUGAACCAGCCACGUCGCGUGAAGGAAGACGGCCCUACGGGUUGUAAACUUCUUUUGUAAGGGAAUAAAGUGCAGUACGUGUACUGUUUUGCAUGUACCUUACGAAUAAGGAUCGGCUAACUCCGUGCCAGCAGCCGCGGUAAUACGGAGGAUCCGAGCGUUAUCCGGAUUUAUUGGGUUUAAAGGGUGCGCAGGCGGGAGAUUAAGUCGGCGGUGAAAUUUUGCAGCUCAACUGUAAAAGUGCCUUCGAAACUGGUUUCCUUGAGUGUGGAUGAAGUAGGCGGAAUUUGUGGUGUAGCGGUGAAAUGCAUAGAUAUCACGAGGAACUCCGAUUGCGCAGGCAGCUUACUAAACCAUAACUGACGCUCAGGCACGAAGGCGUGGGGAUCAAACAGGAUUAGAUACCCUGGUAGUC
rnacentral:rRNA from 1 species